CGUAACGAUGGCGGCGCUGUCUCCACCCGAGACUCAGUGAAAUUGAAAUCGCUGUGAAGAUGCAGUGUAUCCGCGGCUAGACGGAAAGACCCCGUGAACCUUUACUGUAGCUUUGCACUGGACUUUGAGCCUGCUUGUGUAGGAUAGGUGGGAGGCUUUGAAGCGUGGACGCCAGUUCGCGUGGAGCCAUCCUUGAAAUACCACCCUGGCAUGC
rnacentral:rRNA from 1 species